rnacentral:misc_RNA from 1 species
GAUGAAGAACGUAGCGAAAUGCGAUACUUGGUGUGAAUUGCAGAAUCCCGUGAACCAUCGAGUCUUUGAACGCAAGUUGCGCCCGAGGCCUCCUGGUCGAGGGCACGUCUGCCUGGGUGUCACGCAUCGUCGCCCCCUCUCCCCUCGGCUCGCGAGGGCGGGGGCGGAUACUGGUCUCCCGCGCGCUCCCGCUCGCGGUUGGCCCAAAAUCGAGUCCUCGGCGACGGUCGCCACGACGAGCGGUGGUUGAGAGACCCUCGGACACGGUCGUGCGCGCGCCUGUCGCCCCCGGGAUCUCCUGGACCCUCGGGCAUCGAGAUUCUAGGAUGCUCUCGUUGCGACCCCAGGUCAGGCGGGACUACCCGCUGAGUUUAAGCAUAUCAAUAAGCGGAGGA